UAGUCGGUCCCAAGGGUUGGGCUGUUCGCCCAUUAAAGCGGUACGCGAGCUGGGUUCAGAACGUCGUGAGACAGUUCGGUCCCUAUCCGUCGUGGGCGCAGGAAAUUUGAGAGGAGCUGUCCUUAGUACGAGAGGACCGGGAUGGACGCACCGCUGGUGUACCAGUUGUCUUGCCAAAGGCAUCGCUGGGUAGCUAUGUGCGGACGGGAUAAGUGCUGAAAGCAUCUAAGCAUGAAGCCCCCCUCAAGAUGAGAUUUCCCAUAGCGUCAAGCUAGUAAGAUCCCUGAAAGAUGAUCAGGUUGAUAGGUCAGAGGUGGAAGCGCGGUGACGUGUGGAGCUGACUGAUACUAAUCGAUCGAGGACUUAACCUAAUU
rnacentral:rRNA from 2 species